GGCGGUGUAGCUCAGUGGUUAGAGCAAGCGGCUCAUAUCCGCUGUGUCGGGGGUUCGAAUCCCUCCACCGCCACCA
rnacentral:tRNA from 1 species